rnacentral:rRNA from 1 species
UGGGGAAUAUUGGACAAUGGGCGAAAGCCUGAUCCAGCCAUGCCGCGUGUGUGAAGAAGGUCUUCGGAUUGUAAAGCACUUUAAGUUGGGAGGAAGGGCAUUAACCUAAUACGUUAGUGUUUUGACGUUACCGACAGAAUAAGCACCGGCUAACUCUGUGCCAGCAGCCGCGGUAAUACAGAGGGUGCAAGCGUUAAUCGGAAUUACUGGGCGUAAAGCGCGCGUAGGUGGUUUGUUAAGUUGGAUGUGAAAUCCCCGGGCUCAACCUGGGAACUGCAUUCAAAACUGACUGACUAGAGUAUGGUAGAGGGUGGUGGAAUUUCCUGUGUAGCGGUGAAAUGCGUAGAUAUAGGAAGGAACACCAGAGGCGAAGGCGACCACCUGGACUAAUACUGACACUGAGGUGCGAAAGCGUGGGGAGCAAACA